rnacentral:ncRNA from 1 species
UAAGGUGAGCUCAGGGAGAGCAGAAAUCUCCUAUGGAGCAGAAGGGCAAAAGCUUGCUUGAUCUUGAUUUUUCAGCACAAAGAGUGACAAUAAAAUCA